rnacentral:rRNA from 1 species
UACGGAGGGUGCAAGCGUUAAUCGGAAUUACUGGGCGUAAAGCGCACGCAGGCGGUCUGUCAAGUCGGAUGUGAAAUCCCCGGGCUCAACCUGGGAACUGCAUUCGAAACUGGCAGGCUAGAGUCUUGUAGAGGGGGGUAGAAUUCCAGGUGUAGCGGUGAAAUGCGUAGAGAUCUGGAGGAAUACCGGUGGCGAAGGCGGCCCCCUGGACAAAGACUGACGCUCAGGUGCGAAAGCGUGGGGAGCAAACAGGAUUAGAUACCCUGGUAGUCCACGCUGUAAACGAUGUCGAUUUGGAGGUUGUGCCCUUGAGGCGUGGCUGCCGGAGCUAACGCGUUAAGCAUCCCACCUGGGGAGUACGCCGGCAACGGUGAA